GGUAGAGCAACGGACUUUUAAUCCGUGGGUCGACAGUUCGAGCCUGUCACGGCUCA
rfam:Lactobacillus sharpeae JCM 1186 = DSM 20505 NODE_90, whole genome shotgun sequence.